UAUUUACUUACACUAUGUGUAUCUGCUGUGAAUAAAACACAUUUGCAAAUUAAAUUUGAAUGGAUUGUUAUUGUUGCUUCCAUAGUGUGGCAAACAAAAUAAUCUUUUCUACUUUCACUUUCAUUUUAGCGUGAUUUUGGGUGGAGUGUGUCAAUUAACGGCGGAAGGGAGUUGUAUUUAAAGGGAGCGUAUCGUACCUGAAAGAGAGGCGUCAUUCGUUUGUUUGCACAUGAGGGUUGCCCGUAUGAGAGAUGGUUUACGGUGGAAAGACGGCUGCGUGUCACUCAGCUGUUUCAUGGGUAUGAUGUCUGGUGCGUGAUUGAAGCAUUGCACUUCCAGACCAACUGUCAUGAGCGGUCCUGAAGACAAGGCAAAAACCGCUUAUCCACCUAUCUUGGUGUCUGGUGACCCGCGAUACUCAUUGGUGCCUUCAAUACCUGCAAACGUGCGUGACGCGGUCGGUUUCUGGCACAGGCACGGAUUUCGAAGACCAGAGACCGCUAGUGGGAACGUGUGGUCAUUGCUUAUUUUGUUUUAUUUUAUUUGUUUGUUGUCCAUUUCGGUUUUCUGUGUUAUUAUGAUUUUGAACAUAUGGCAGAAUAAAUAUCCUGAUGACCUUUAGUCUGGGAUUAUUAUUAUAAUUUGUUGUGUAACAGGUGGUUAUUUUUCUGCUAUCCUGGGUUAAGUUAAUUUUUGACAGGUUUAAUCCUGUCUGGCGCCCGAAGGUUUUUUCUUCUUUAAAAUAGUAUUUGAGUUAGGGCGGCUACCACCGUUAUAAUAGACAUAUGUGUGUAUUUUUCAAACUCCAAAUGUAUUGUUUUACUAGUACUUAUCUGUACUUACAGUCGAGGCCAAAAAUAUUGGCCCCCUUGGUAAAUAUGAUCAAAAAAGGCUGUGAAAAUUCAUCUGCAUUGUUAAUACUUUUGAUCUUUUAUUUAAAAUAUUCUCAAAAAUCUAACCUUUCAUUGGAUAAUAAGAAUUUAAAAUGGGGGGAAAUAUCAUUAUGAAAUAAAUGUUUUUCUCUAAUACA
ensembl:lncRNA